rnacentral:tRNA from 1 species
GACCUAAUAGUCAAUUAUGAUUUUAAAUUGCAAGUUUAAAGGUAAAUAAAAUUUUUAGGUU